rnacentral:rRNA from 1 species
UACGGGGGGAGCAAGCGUUGUUCGGAUUUACUGGGCGUAAAGGGCGCGUAGGCGGCCACCGCAAGUCGACUGUGAAAUCUCCGGGCUUAACUCGGAAAGGUCAGCCGAUACUGCGGGGCUAGAGUGCAGAAGGGGCAACUGGAAUUCUCGGUGUAGCGGUGAAAUGCGUAGAUAUCGGGAGGAACACCAGUGGCGAAGGCGGCACUCUGGGCCGGUACUGACGCUGAGGAGCGAAAGCGUGGGGAGCGAACAGG